UACGUAGGGUGCAAGCGUUAAUCGGAAUUACUGGGCAUAAAGCGUGCGCAGGCGGUUAUGCAAGACAGAUGUGAAAUCCCCGGGCUUAACCUGGGAACUGCAUUUGUGACUGCAUAGCUAGAGUACGGUAGAGGGGGAUGGAAUUCCGCGUAGCAGUGAAAUGCGUAGAUAUGCGGAGGAACACCGAUGGCGAAGGCAGUCCCCUGGACCUGUACUGACGCUCAUGCACGAAAGCGUGGGGAGCAAACAGG
rnacentral:rRNA from 1 species